rnacentral:rRNA from 1 species
UGGGGAAUAUUGCACAAUGGGCGCAAGCCUGAUGCAGCCAUGCCGCGUGUGUGAAGAAGGCCUUCGGGUUGUAAAGCACUUUCAGCGAGGAGGAAGGUGGUGAGCUUAAUACGCUCAUCAAUUGACGUUACUCGCAGAAGAAGCACCGGCUAACUCCGUGCCAGCAGCCGCGGUAAUACGGAGGGUGCAAGCGUUAAUCGGAAUUACUGGGCGUAAAGCGCACGCAGGCGGUUUGUUAAGUCAGAUGUGAAAUCCCCGGGCUCAACCUGGGAACUGCAUUUGAAACUGGCAAGCUAGAGUCUCGUAGAGGGGGGUAGAAUUCCAGGUGUAGCGGUGAAAUGCGUAGAGAUCUGGAGGAAUACCGGUGGCGAAGGCGGCCCCCUGGACGAAGACUGACGCUCAGGUGCGAAAGCGUGGGGCAGCAAACAGGAUUAGAUACCCUGGUAGUCCACGCUGUAAAACGAUGUCGAUUUUGGAGGUUGUGCCCUUGAGGCGUGGCUUCCGGAGCUAACGCGUUAAAUCGACCGCCUGGGGAGUACGGCCGCAAGGUUAAAACUCAAAGGAAUUGACGGGGUCUAGCUG